GAACAGAAAUAAUACCUUAGCGUGUCGUGUUGGUCUGUUAGGUGGCGGCGAAGGGGUAGCUAGCUAGUAGUAGUGCUCAAGCAGGCAGGUGGGUCUUUUCGUUUUGUUUUAUCGUGUCGCGAUGAGGGACGGCGGCUCGUGGUGAGCGGUCGUGCGAGCGUUUUUUCUUAGCGGUGGGUUUUUAGCACCUGGAGUUAGGGGUGUGGGGGUAGAAGGGCGCUCGCGCCGCAGGGGAAACUGAGUCGUCUGCCGCUGUGCGGCUGCACAGGGGCGGCCGCGCGGCGCGUCCAGCAUAGGUAGGUAGGUGCACAAGGUCCCCGCCCGCCCUCCCUUAGGCAGAGGGGGAGGAGGGAGGAGGUGUGGGCAAAGGGAGCGCCGGGGCUGAGCCGGUGGCCGGGCCGACAUGCUGAGGCCGAGCGCCCGCCGAUAUUUAGCGGGCGGGAAGGGGAGGGCUCGAGGUGAGGCAAAGGGGGAGCAAAAAUUAGGCUAAGCCGUUGGUUUGGGUGGACAAUGAAGAUUGGUCUUCGAUUUAUUUAGGUAUUUAGGCGGCCUUCUCUCUGUCUCUUCUCUCUUGGGUGGCUUGUUAGCGCCGCCGCCGCUCUCCGUCCGCUGGCCGCCUCGUUACGGAAUGACGCUCCCGUAGCUCCAGACGACGAAGCUGUUGGCGCCGCAGCCGGCGUCGAGGUAGGGGGGCGUGUUUAGGAUGAUGAGCUGUAGCUAGUACCGCUCCCUGCGCGACCGGAACUACCUGGUAGACCCCACCUUCUUUCGGGUGCAGAAGCCGGUGAGGUACCCGCGCUACUAAAGGACGUUCGAACGUCGCUACCGCGGAGUGGCCUACAGGAGCGACCGCAACGAGUUGCAGUGGCCGCCACCCUACCUCACAAAGGGGUUCCAUCUACGUGUCUACGAUAGAGAGCGUAAGGCCAAGAAUUCCCGCUCUUGAGGCCUCGUUUCUCGAGAACACCUGAACCUUUGGGUGAUAUGGUUCCUUAUGGAACUACUCCUUCAACCUAGGACGUGUUCCUCUCGUUAGGACAUGUUCCUUAUACACUUCCCGUAUAGUAGAAGUCCCUACGUUAGAUUAACGCCCAAACUUCCAGUUUAAUUGCGUACGACCUGAGUGUUUCACUGUUGAUUUCUUGACCUAUGUUAUGCACGACGACCAAAAGAUCAAAGUCAAUAAGUACCUUCCGUACUAUAAUAACGCGUUCAUACGGUACGCUCUACCGAACGUGUUUCCGAAGAAGGACGACGAUCUUACCACCUAGAAGUACCACGUGUAGAUCAGUCGGUACUUUCUGGUCUUCUCCAGUUGUUGCGGGAUUACCUAGACUAUUUCCGGUGUUUCAUACGCUACCGUGGAGUUCUCACCAGCAGGGUCGGCCUCUUGUGUAGUCUUUGGCCCCGGGAAUAAAGACGCUCCGGACAUUGGGAGUGCUAUGCUUGUCCGCUUCGACCGUUGCGACGGCAUCGUCGCAUAUUGGAUGAACGUUUCAACGUUGAUUCGAAAGAAAUACAGUAUCCGGACUAUCACUACCGCAAACUCGUACACUCCUUGUAACAUUCUCAUUGCUUCGGGCACUCCCAGCACCGCUAGGUCAGUAGUAUUCUUUGUUUUCUGUACAUUUAAUAUGGGGGCUUCGGCCGCUCCUCUAGUAUAAAGUACAGAGGAGGCAUAUGGUAGACACCUCUACUCUGCUUAAAUCUCAUCGUAGAGGCGUUCUUAACUUGGAUAAAAAGGAGGAGGGAACUCUUUCCGGGAGACGAGAGCCGUCUUUGUUGCAAAGUUCUGACUUCUUGUCUCCUCGAUAUGGACGUAACGCGCGUGGACCCGUCUUCGCAGCGUCCCGCACCACUAACUCUACACGACGGUAUGUAACAUGAUAAUGACAUCGAGCCUCUCUCGUUUACCUACAUGGAACACACUACUCACAUUAAUUCGACACUGGUUAUACAUGUGCCGGCGUACAACGCAACGCAACAACUACAGCCGCAACAACACAUGAGGUAACAACACGACACUAGUAGGGAAACUUAUUUAGCUGAGCUAGAAGUGAAGAGACGUGGGAAGACCCCAUCCACUUAUAAAAGAAUGGACACGUUACAAUCAACGCCUACAUGAGC
rnacentral:rRNA from 1 species